rnacentral:rRNA from 1 species
CGCGGCCUAUCAGCUUGUUGGUGAGGGAUGGCUCACCAACGCUACAACGGGUAAGCCGCCUGAAAGGGUGACCGGUCACACUGGGACUGAACUCGGCCCAUACUCCUACGGGAGGCAUCCCCGGGGAAUAUUGCCCAAUGGGCGAAAGCCUGAUGCAACGACGCCUCCUGUUGGAUGACUGCCUUCGGGUUGUAAACCUCUUUCCCCAAGGAAGAAACCCCUUUUUGGGGUGACGGUACUUGCAUAAGAAGCGCCGGCUAACUACUUGCCAGCUGCCGCGGUAAUACGUACGGCGCAAGCGUUAUCCCGAAUUAUUGGGCGUUAGAGCUCGUAGGCGGUUUGUCGCGUCUGCCCUGAAAGUCCGAGGCUCAUGCUCGGAUCUGCGGUGGGUACGGUUAUACUAGAGGGAUGUACGGAAGACUGGAAUUCCUGGUGUUUUUACGAAAUGCGGGGCUUCGGGAGGAACACCGAUGGCGAAGGCAGGUCUCUGGGCAUUUACUGACGAUUCAUUACUGAAAGCCUGGGGAGCGAACAGGAUUAGUGUACCCUGGUAGUCCAUGCCUGAUCCGUUGGGCACUAGGUGUGGGGGACAUUCCACGUUUUCCGCGCCGUAGCUAACGCAUUAAGAGCCCCGCCUGAGGAGUACAG